GCAGUUACACAUGCUUUCGCAUAAUAGACAUUUUCGUCUUGAAUAUCGAACAUCAGGCGUCGGGAAUUUAUAACAUUUUAUUUGAAAUUAAAAGAUCAAUGUAUGCAUCUUAACGUGUUCAGUACUUUCGUUAUGCCCAACGAAGCUGCGUGGGCUCAGACGAUUCAUUCGUGCCUCCCAAACUACUCAAGUCGUGUAGCGAAAGUAGAGUAGAGUUGAUGGCACUACUCACAAAUGUAUGGACGCAACGAAUGGUUACUCUCGAAAAACUAAUGAGUCUUGCUAAUACAACAUUCAGUCUUUAAAUUUUUUUUUUUAGCCGCGCGACUGAGUCGUGUAUCGUAAAGUAACUAUUAGUUACGGAAUCUCUCCGCGCAUUAGAGAGAAGAAACGAUAACAUCCACACUUCAUUCUUUUUUCGGCGCGCCAGUUAUUGUGAGGCAUACGCAAUUAGCAAUAUAGGUGUAUUACAUAUAUGGUAACUUCAGGCUUUAGACACUAAGUUAAAGAAAUAUUGCGUGAGGUGAGUGCAAUACCAAGCAGUCAAUUUUUGGGAACCUACUUAUUAACGUUUUUGUCAAUUUUUAACAAAAAUUGAAUAUUACCAGUAUAUUUAGUGUCAAGUGUUGAGUGAAGGUAUAUAAAUAUCGGUAUAUAAGCUAUUAUGUAUUCAUUUAUUUCCCAAAGUUUGAAUUUUCUCGGAAUGUGCCAAUAAACUUCUAUUUCUAAUUAUUCUUCCAUAUUAUAUUUAGAGGCAUGUGCCAUCUUGCGCGUCAGCUGUCACGCCAUUCUUGCAUGUCGAUAUCGUGAUAGAAAAAACUUAACUAAAAAAUUUUGACGCAAUCGAUAGAAACAAAAGUCAACCACAUUCCAAACACGUUUACCAACUCUAGCUGCAUAUAUGAAGUACAAAGAAUUUUUCCUUCCCUCUGGCCUUACUCUUCUUUCGUGAAAAAGUAUUCUUAUAGAACUUAGCAGAGGUCAGGUAGCCAGUGCUGAGCAAACUCAGCAUUUAGUAAUGCGGCGAAUGAGUCGAGUGACAAGCGUGGCUGUCACUAAACGUUAGAGAUAUUUGUCAACACACGCUAGUGAAAAUUAACACUAGAGAUUUUUCUCAAUUGAAAGUCAGUGCAUUGACAACUGUGCCUCGUGCCAAUCAAAAAGUUUUAUUUUGACACUAAGCACUCGUGCCAAAAGCAGUGGCAGCUCUUGUCGCGGUCGCUCCGCGUAUUCAGAAGUCCUUCCGAGGUCGCCACGUCUCAGGCGAAACCUUGAAACCCAGCCUUGUCAGCAGCAGCACGUUUUGAGGUGUUAUGCCUUUGCCAGCCUGUUGUCGGCUGAUGCCGAAAAAUCCCGAUUAUCGUAAAGACUUGAUUUGUAGUCUGAGUGUUAUAAUUUCCCCACGAAAAUUAACCAAAUGCCCGCCUGGAUCAACUACAUGGAGCUGUAUAUGAUCUAUUGUCUUGAUGG